UACGUAGGGGGGCAAGCGUUGUCCGGAAUUAUUGGGCGUAAAGAGCGUGUAGGCGGUCCGGUAAGUCCGCUGUGAAAGUCCAGGGCUCAACCCUGGAAUGCCGGUGGAUACUGCCGGGCUAGAGUCCGGAAGAGGCGAGUGGAAUUCCUGGUGUAGCGGUGAAAUGCGCAGAUAUCAGGAGGAACACCGAUGGCGAAGGCAGGUCUCUGGGCCACUACUGACGCUGAGAAGCGAAAGCAUGGGGAGCGAACAGG
rnacentral:rRNA from 1 species